rnacentral:tRNA from 1 species
GGUGCUGUAGCUCAGUGGCAGAGUGCUUGCCUAGAAUGUGUGAGGCAUUGGGUUCAAUCCUCAGCACCA